GAAAUGCGAUACGUAAUGUGAAUUGCAGAAUUCAGUGAAUCAUCGAAUCUUUGAACGCAUAUUGCGCUCUCUGGUAUUCCGGAGAGCAUGCUUGUUUGAGUAUCAGUAAACACCUCAACUUCUGAACGUUGACCUCGGAUCAGGUAGGAAUACCCGCUGAACUUAA
rnacentral:misc_RNA from 1 species